rnacentral:rRNA from 1 species
ACCCUACUAUGCCUGACCCCGACAUGGCAAUUAAAUAACCAAUUGCCCGCCAAAUAACUACGAGUAAAAACUUAAAAUUUAAAAGACUUGACGGUACCUCAAAACAACCUAGAGGAGCCUGUCUAGUAACCGAUACUCCACGAUCAACCCUACCCUUUCUAGCCAACAGUCUAUAUACCGCCGUCGCCAGCUUACCUUAUGAAAGAAACAAAGUAAGCCUAAUAGUCCAACACUAGUACGACAGGUCGAGGUGUAACUCAUGAACGGGCUCAGAUGGGCUACAUUUUCUAACCCAGAAAAUACGAAUAACCUAUGAAACUAGAAACUGAAGGCGGAUUUAGCAGUACGCUAAGAACAAAAUACUUAGCUGAAAUAAGCGCAAUGAGGUGCGUACACACCGCCCGUCAUCCCUGUCAAAACACAAUAAACUACAUAAAAUUAGUACCACCAAAGCA